AAACCUCCAGCUCCUCGGUCCGAAUCUAACACUUCACUGGCUUCCACCGCUGGACACUUCAGCUAAGGCGCUGGGCGUGGGCACAGGGAGAGUGUAGAGUUCCAAGGGGAGUCUGUGAAGCUACAUGGUUUCUGUACACAUUCACCCGGACUAGCUCCUGGGCCUCCUGUGACAUCUGUGGUCUCAUGCCGUGGUCAGGACACCCUGGAAGCACUUGGAACAGGAUAUAAAGGCAGCGCUUUCCACCCAGCCUGACAUCCUGCUUCCAGAUGCAAGACUCUGAGCAGGCACAAGGACAUUCCCGAAGCAGCUGGGAGCAGGGAGCUUGAGGUCAAAAUCCAAAGUCUAGUGGCUUCCAGCUUGGCCCUCACUUCGCCCUCCUUCUCCUCUUCUUGGCCCUCAGAUAUUUAGAAUGAUGCAUUACACUCCGUAGUGGUUUGUGUAAGUGUCCCCCCCCCCCCAGCCCUGGCAUCUAGACACUUGGUGUGGUCCCCACUUGGUGGCGCUGUGUGGGGAGGCUGUGCCACAGUCUGCUUCAUUCAGCUCCCUGAGGUUAGCACUGUCUGAUAUUACUAACUGGAAUUUUCCAGGAAUAAAAAAAAAAUCCAUUAGUGUCUUCGCUGA